GUUAAUAUUUUCCUUUAGCCUGACCCUCACUUUUCAAAAAAAUAAAACGCGUUCCAAACUGUCUGCAAGAUGAAGAUAAAUAAUUCCACAUCAGGAGAGCGUCUGCCACGACCUAAGACUUGCAGCUCUCAACAACUGGAUACAAUCUGGAUAUUCCUGAUAUGUCAUUCACCACCAUUCUCCACAUACACAACCUUUGUGCAUGAUUUCUGGCUAUCAGUCCAGAGUUAAGAUUUCCAGCAUCUGCAGUAUUUUACUUCUCUCUUCCAUUCUUGGAACAACAGCCUCUGGUAAUGUGAUUGUCUCUUGACAAGACCAAGAGAACCAGCUCACUUUGGAGUUGUUAAUAUUUCUUUAUAUCGCUGUUUAUUCUAAACAUUCAGUACUUAUAUUUGAAUAUGGGAGAUGUUAGAAAUAACUCUUAAAUGCCACUUGAGGUUUUCUUAUUGUUAUAAAUGUUUAAUUCUGUACUCAAAGUAUGCGUUAAGAAGCUGUUAAAAGAAGCUUUAUAUCAUUUCAAGAAAUUAUGAUUUCCAAUAAAUGAGAAACUAACCAUUUCCACUUGACAUUGAA